UGGGGAAUAUUGGACAAUGGGCGAAAGCCUGAUCCAGCGACGCCGCGUGUGUGAAGAAGGCCUGCGGGUUGUAAAGCACUUUCGGUGGGAACGAAAUAUGCCGGGCUAAUACCCCGGUAGGCUGACGUUACUCAAUGAAGAAGCACCGGCUAACUCUGUGCCAGCAGCCGCGGUAAUACAGAGGGUGCGAGCGUUAAUCGGAAUUACUGGGCGUAAAGCGCACGUAGGUGGCGACGUAAGUCGGGUGUGAAAGCCCCGGGCUCAACCUGGGAACCGCAUUCGAGACUGUGUUGCUGGAGUACGGAAGAGGAGGGCGGAAUUCCCGGUGUAGCGGUGAAAUGCGUAGAUAUCGGGAGGAACAUCAGUGGCGAAGGCGGCCCUCUGGUCCAGUACUGACACUCAAGUGCGAAAGCGUGGGGAGCAAACAGGAUUAGAUACCCAAGUAGUCCCUGAGCGGGC
rnacentral:rRNA from 1 species